UGUUCGAGCGUCAUUACAACCCUCAAGCACUGCUUGGUAUUGGAUGCUACUGCUUGUGGUGCAUCUCAAAAGCAUUGGCGGCAGCAUUUAGCUUCUAGUGUAGUAAAUUCCUCACUUUGGAGUCUAGGUGUCUGACAGCCAGAACCCUUAAUUUAUUAGAUGUUGACCUCGGAUCAGGUAGGGAUACCCGCUGAACUUAA
rnacentral:misc_RNA from 1 species